rnacentral:rRNA from 1 species
CCAAUAGCGUAUAUUAAAGUUGUUGCAGUUAAAAAGCUCGUAGUUGAACUUCGGGGUUUACCCAUUGGUCAGGCUUAAUUGUCUGUACUGGUGCGAUAAAUCUCUACCUUCUGAGGAACUUUCAUGCCAUUUAUUUGGUGUGAUUGGAAAUCAGGACUAUUACUUUGAAAAAAUUAGAGUGUUUAAAGCAGGCUAACGUCUGAAUAUAUUAGCAUGGAAUAAUGAAAUAGGAAGGCUUGGUUCUAUUUCGUUGGUUUCUAGGAUCACCGUAAUGAUUAAUAGGGAUAGUUGGGGGCAUUAGUAUUCAAUUGUCAGAGGUGAAAUUCUUGGAUUUAUUGAAGACUAACUACUGCGAAAGCAUUUGCCAAGGAUGUUUUCAUUAAUCAAGAACGAAAGUUAGGGGAUCGAAGACGAUCAGAUACCGUCGUAGUCUUAACCAUAAACUAUGCCGACUAGGGAUCGGACGAAGUUAAUUUUAUAAUGACGCGUUCGGCACCUUACG